rnacentral:rRNA from 1 species
GAUGAACGCUGGCGGCGUGCCUAAUACAUGCAAGUCGAACGAACGGACGCGAAGCUUGCUUCUUUGAUGUUUGCGGCGGACGGGUGAGUAACAUGUGGAUCACCUCCCUAAAAGACUGGUAAAACUACGGGAAAGCGGAGCUUACCCCGGAUAAUAUCUUGCACCGCUUGGUUCAUAAGUGAAAGUCGGUCUUGCUGUCACUUAUAGAUGGAUCCGCGCUGCAUGAGCUAGUUGGGAAGGUAACGGGUUAUCAAGGCAACGAGGCAUAGCCGACCUGCGAGAGUGAUCGGCCACACUGGAAGGGAGACACGGUCCUGGCUCCUACGAGAGGCAGCAGAAGGGAAUCGGCCGCAGUGGGCGAAAGCCUGACAGAGCGGCGGCGCGUGAGAUAUGAAAAUCUUCGGAUCGUAAUACUCUGUUGUUAGGGAAGAACAUAUUUGUAAGUUACUGUGCAGAUCGUGACGGUACCUAAUCAGGAAGCCACGGCUAGCUACGUG